rnacentral:rRNA from 1 species
UACGAGAGGCCCAAACGUUAUUCGGAAUUACUGGGCUUAAAGAGUUCGUAGGCGGCGCAGAAAGUGGGGUGUGAAAGCCCUCGGCUUAACCGAGGAAUUGCGCUCCAAACUACCGUGCUUGAGGAAGCUAGAGGUGAGCAGAACUGAUGGUGGAGCGGUGAAAUGCGUUGAUAUCAUCAGGAAUACCGGAGGCGAAGGCGGCUCACUGGGGCUUUUCUGACGCUGAGGAACGAAAGCCAGGGUAGCGAACGGG